AGUGAACGCUGGCGGUAGGCCUAACACAUGCAAGUCGAACGGCAGCACAGUAAGAGCUUGCUCUUACGGGUGGCGAGUGGCGGACGGGUGAGGAAUACAUCGGAAUCUACUUUUUCGUGGGGGAUAACGUAGGGAAACUUACGCUAAUACCGCAUACGACCUACGGGUGAAAGCAGGGGAUCUUCGGACCUUGCGCGAUUGAAUGAGCCGAUUCCGGAUUAGCUAGUUGGCGGGGUAAAGGCCCACCAAGGCGACGAUCCGUAGCUGGUCUGAGAGGAUGAUCGGCCACACUGGAACUGAGACACGGUCCAGACUCCUACGGGAGGCAGCAGUAGGGAAUAUUGGACAAUGGGCGAAAGCCUGAUCCAGCCAUACCGCGUGGGUGAAGAAGGCCUUCGGAUUGUAAAGCCCUUUUGUUGGGAAAGAAAAGCAGCAGGUUAAUACCCCGAUGUUCUGACGGUACCCAAAGAAUAAGCACCGGCUAACUUCGUG
rnacentral:rRNA from 1 species